GAUGAAGAACGUAGCGAAAUGCGAUAAGUAGUGUGAAUUGCAGAAUUCAGUGAAUCAUCGAAUCUUUGAACGCACAUUGCGCCCCUUGGUAUUCCAUGGGGCAUGCCUGUUCGAGCGUCAUUUGUACCUUCAAGCUUUGCUUGGUGUUGGGUGUUUGUCCUGAGGGACUCGCCUUAAAGUAAUUGGCAGCCAGUGUUUUGGUUUUGAAGCGCAGCACAUUUUGCGAUUCUAGCCGAUAAUACUUGCGUCCAUAAGCCUUUUUUAACUUUUGACCUCGGAUCAGGUAGGGAUACCCGCUGAACUUAAGCAUAUCAAUAAGCGGAGGA
rnacentral:misc_RNA from 1 species